GGCUCUGGCCAUAUCAGCCUGAAGGCGCCCGAUCUCAUCUGAUCUUGGAAGCUAAGCAGGGUUGGGCCUGCUUAGUAAAAAAAAAAAAAAAAAAAGUGAUGGUAGGGCUGCAUUCU
rnacentral:rRNA from 1 species